UACGAAGGGGGCUAGCGUUGCUCGGAAUCACUGGGCGUAAAGCGCACGUAGGCGGCUUUUUAAGUCAGAGGUGAAAUCCUGGAGCUCAACUCCAGAACUGCCUUUGAUACUGGAGAGCUUGAGUCCGGGAGAGGUGAGUGGAACUGCGAGUGUAGAGGUGAAAUUCGUAGAUAUUCGCAAGAACACCAGUGGCGAAGGCGGCUCACUGGCCCGGUACUGACGCUGAGGUGCGGAAAGCGUGGGGAGCAAAGCAGG
rnacentral:rRNA from 1 species